rnacentral:lncRNA from 1 species
CAGAGUAAAUCAAAAGGAAAAAAGAAGAAGUCCUAAUUAGAAACCCUAAUGCUCAGCUUGCCCUUGCUUUCCAAACACAACUUGACUAGUGAUAUCUACUUUGUGCUUCAUUUGAGAUCUUGUAUUGGUAUUUAUAGUUUAGUUGCACAAUGCCGCAUUGUCGAUGGAUGUGUAAUUUGAAUUUGUAGGUUUACUUUUUUAGGGAGUAUAAAAAACAAGACGAAAUAAAUUAUCGAUCGGUCCC